CUCUCCCUAACACUGAGCCCGCCUCUUCUCUGAACCUAAACUCAACGUCGAGUUCAGAUGUCUCAUCUCUGAGCUUGAAAUUGAUGUGUUUAAUAAGAAGUUGAGGAAUAUUAUAAAGAAAGAGGAGCCUAAGGUUGUGACUGUGGAGGAUGAGAAGUACAGGUUGGGUUAUGGCCUUGCUGGGAAAGGAGUAAAGUUGCCUUGGUAUCUUGAGAAACCAAGUGAGAAUGUGAGUAGUGAGGGAGCAAGGGACUGUAAUGGGUUUUCUUCUGAUGAAGAAGAAGAGGGGAAGAAGAAGGGAAAAAAGAUUUUGCAAGAGUUGAGGGAAGAACGACUUAGAAGAGAAAAGCGGGAGAAGGAAAGAGAACGUGCUUUGGUGAUGGAGAAAAGCCAUAGGGGUAUUAGAGAUGGAGCUAAUCCCAGGCAUAGAAACUUCUCUUCAACCAAGUAAUGACAGAGAUAGAGGUAGGGACAGAGACAAAUACAAUCCCAGCCCCAAGCAUAGAAAGUUUUCCAGGAGGUGAGUUUAUUUAUGACACUGUCUUUGCUUUAAUAUAUUUUCAUUGAUUAGUAUCCUCUCAUUGAGCUAUGUAUCUUUAUUCUCUGAAUUUGUAGUUUUGUAAGUGAGAUUCUCUAACAAUACUUGUAUGUAGAGAUUUGUAAGUGUAUUUUAUUAACAUAAAUAAGACAACCCUCAAAUUUUAGAUCCUC